rnacentral:antisense_RNA from 1 species
CUUGAUCGAACCGAUCCACAGCGGCUCGGACCGGUCCUGGCCGUAGGUGGCCAGCAAGGCCUGCGCCUC